UUGGUUCAGCAAUGUUCCAUUUAUGGUUAGUUCAGAUUCCAGUAUCCAAUUUCUACACUAAUUUCCCAAAACAAAAUUAUGCCAUCCUAAACCAUUAGUUUGACAUUUUAAAUAGGGGGAAGAAAUUAAUAUAAAAAUGUUAAAUCCAUCAUGAAAAUUGAUAAUCCCUUUAUUUAUGUACAUACAAGGUUCUAGAAAUGCAUAUCUGAAUUUGAAAGCAACACCUCUGAGGUUCACAUUUUUCUUUUAAGAGAAAAAAAAGCCACUAACAUAUACUCCUCUAAAUCCAAUAAUCAAUAAGGAAAAUAAAAUUAAAAAUCGAGACAGAGAGAGAGAAAUGUACCAGCCUUGGAAGAAGGAAGUAAAACCGGGGUUAUCAUGGUGGCAGUGGUAAUGCGAAGGAGGUGGCGGAGGGUACUCUUGAUUGAAAUAGCUUUGGUAACCUUGGUACUGCGGAGGCGGUGGCGAGAACGGUGCAUAUCCCGGCGGCGCCGGCACCGACGCUAUGGGUAACUCAGUGGCGGAUAAGGACGGGUGUAGCCUGUGUUGAUUAAAUUGAAAGAGAAUUAGCAGAACAAUUGAGGCAAAAAAGAGUGUUUAAUUUAAUUUAAUUCAUUUGCUUAAUUGAAUAAUUUACCCGGGGGAGGAUAAUAAGGGUCUCUCAGGUAAUUACUCAUUGUGUGGGGAAUUGCAAUGAAGGACACUUUUUUU
rnacentral:lncRNA from 1 species